rnacentral:lncRNA from 1 species
UACUAAAUGUGGCAAUGGUGGGAGUGAAUGUGUGUUAGAAACAACAAGUCACUUCACAACUAAGGAGGUAAGUAGUUUGAAAACUAACAAAUAAUUAACUUUUACAUCGGAUUGUGUGGUAAUAUAAAAAAUGAUUAUUUGUUUGCACAGGUAUUUAUGAAUCGAAAUGAAUUAAUUAAUUGGACUCGUGCAGAAGGAAGAAAGUGUGGAAUAGUUGUUGUAAUCAGGAGGUCUGAUUUUCCAGGGAAUUGUAGAUUACGAAGAGGGCGAAUAGUUUUUGGUUGUGAGAGAGGUGGUUGUUAUCAAAAGAAUAGCGUAGACUCAACAUCUUUACAAAAGAAGAAGCAUGAUGCGAGUUUGAAUCCUAAAAAGAAGAAGCGUCAUAGGAGUGGCGGUACAAAAAGGUGUGGUUGCCCN